rnacentral:rRNA from 1 species
UACAGAGGGUGCAAGCGUUAAUCGGAAUUACUGGGCGUAAAGCGCGCGUAGGCCGUCGAGUAAGUCGGAUGUGAAAUCCCCGGGCUUAACCUGGGAAUUGCAUUCGAUACUGCUUGACUAGAGUGUGGAAGAGGGAAGCGGAAUUUCCGGUGUAGCGGUGAAAUGCGUAGAUAUCGGAAGGAACACCAGUGGCGAAGGCGGCUUCCUGGUCCAACACUGACGCUGAGGCGCGAAAGCGUGGGGAGCGAACAGG